GAAUAUUGGGCAAUGGACGAGAGUCUGACCCAGCCAUGCCGCGUGCAGGAAGACGGCGUUAUGCGUUGUAAACUGCUUUUAUCUGGGAAGAAAAAGUCCAUGCGUGGAAAAUUGCCGGUACCAGAUGAAUAAGCACCGGCUAACUCCGUGCCAGCAGCCGCGGUAAUACGGAGGGUGCAAGCGUUGUCCGGAUUUAUUGGGUUUAAAGGGUGCGUAGGCGGCUCUUUAAGUCAGUGGUGAAAGACCCCGGCUCAACCGGGGCAGUGCCAUUGAUACUGGGGAGCUUGAGUGUUGGAGGGGUACAUGGAAUUGAUGGUGUAGCGGUGAAAUGCAUAGAUACCAUCAGGAACACCGAUAGCGAAGGCAUUGUACUGGCCAACAACUGACGCUGAGGCACGAAAGCAUGGGUAGCGAACAG
rnacentral:rRNA from 1 species